rnacentral:misc_RNA from 1 species
GAUGAAGAACGCAGCGAAAUGCGAUAAGUAAUGUGAAUUGCAGAAUUCAGUGAAUCAUCGAAUCUUUGAACGCACAUUGCGCCCGCCAGUAUUCUGGCGGGCAUGCCUGUUCGAGCGUCAUUUCAACCAUCAAGCCCCAGGCUUGUGUUGGGGGCCUGCAGCUGCUGCAGCCCCCUAAAAGCAGUGGCGGACUCGCUGUCAUACCGAGCGCAGUAGUUACAUCUCGCUCUGGGCAUGGCGGCGGGCACCUGCCGUAAAACACUCUUUCUAAGGUUGACCUCGGAUCAGGUAGGAAUACCCGCUGAACUUAAGCAUAUCAUAAGCGGAGGA